CUGGUUACUGACCCAUCCCAAUGAUGUCUCUCUGGAGGGUUCGUCCUCAGGGCUCAGGCCCAUUCCCUGUGAGGAAGUGGAUUCCAACUGGUCAUCAGUUUUGCUUCUCAAGCCAGGUGGAAAUAUUGGCCUGCCCCUUGACCUGACUUCUCAUGAUGGCUUGGUGUGUAAAGGGAUCAAGAAUCUGCUGGAGGGCUGGAUAUUUAGCUCAGUGGUUCCACUGACUGCCUUGCAAGCACAAGGACCCAAGUUCGAUCCCCGGUGCCAAAAAGAAAAAAAAAAAAAAAAAGAAUCUGCUGGAGGUUUGGUUUUCUUGGCAGUAAUCCCAGGGAUCUUCAUACUCUCCCAAGGUAUUAGUGGGAAGUACUUUUGAAGGAUGCUCAGUGUGCCUCCUCCAGAGACCUUCUGUUCUGAAGACCCAUGUGAAGACCCAUGGUCCCACCUCUUUUUGAGAGCAGUUCUCCUGGUGAGGCUUGCUGGGGAUUACAGGGGCUUUGACUCCAC
rnacentral:lncRNA from 1 species